GCGUCGGUGGUACAACGGUUAAGCACAUCCUCCCGGAAAGAGUAAGAUCUGGGUUCGAAUCCUGGCUGAUGCG